CGAACGCUGGCGGCAGGCCUAAUACAUGCAAGUCGAACGGCUCUUCGGAGCAGUGGCGGACGGGUGAGUAACGCGUGGGAAUGUGCCCUUUGGUACGGAACAACACAGGGAAACUUGUGCUAAUACCGUAUGUGCCCUUCGGGGGAAAGAUUUAUCGCCAUUGGAGCAGCCCGCGUUGGAUUAGGUAGUUGGUGAGGUAAAGGCUCACCAAGCCUACGAUCCAUAGCUGGUCUGAGAGGAUGAUCAGCCACACUGGGACUGAGACACGGCCCAGACUCCUACGGGAGGCAGCAGUAGGGAAUCUUGCGCAAUGGGCGAAAGCCUGACGCAGCCAUGCCGCGUGAAUGAUGAAGGUCUUAGGAUUGUAAAAUUCUUUCACCGGGGAAGAUAAUGACGGUACCCGGAGAAGAAGCCCCGGCUAACUUCGUGCCAGCCGCCGCAGUAACAC
rnacentral:rRNA from 1 species